GCGGAGGCGCGGCGGCGGGGGAUUCCGCUCGGCGGGUCCCUGAGAGGGGCUCCCCCCGCGUCCCCGCCGCCCACUCGCCCACGGAGGGAUGUGCCGGUGGGUCUGGGCGUUGAGUCCGCCGCCCUGGGGCAUCGGCGCGCGGCGGGGCGUCGUCCGUGACUCGGCCUCGUCUGCCAAGCGGGGUGAAGCCCCGCCCCGCCCCCACCCGGAGGGAGCGCCCUUGGGUGCACGGCCAGGUGCGUCGCCGGGAGCCCACCCGGGCUCGCGGGGGAAGGGAGGGCCUGGUAACUCGAGAAACCUCUGGAAGGUGAUGCAGGCGAUCCCACGCACGCCGGCCCCGGACCCCGGCGGCGAAGACCCUGCGCGGUACUGUGGGCCGCAAACCGUUGCACGACGCGCGGAAGUACGAAGAAGAAAUGCAAACAAGAAAAAAAGAAGAAAAGUGCAAAUAGCUCCCUAGCAAGAUUCUGUGACCCUAAAGCCAGUAAGGCGCGGAAUGGUCCUUCGGCUGGUUGAGUGAAGGUCGACUGAAGGGCGUAAACUUCCGCAGCUGCAUCCUUCUGGCCUGCAGGAAGGCAGGCUUUGAAAAGGUAUCCUGCAUCCAGGGUACGAAACCAGAAGCUCUUUUGAGAAUUUUAACUGUAUUAGCAUAGUUUUCUAAAAGCAAAACAGAGCAAAAAAAGCAAAUCCGUUUUGCACCCCCUCCCCCCACCAAGGCUAACCCAAGCGGGCUCAAUGUGGAGUCAUUUGUAUUCCCCAAGAGGAUGUCUGCUCUGUUAACUGCUUAAUUUGAGGGGUUUCGUGAAUACUGUUGAUCGCGGAACAUCUGAUAAGGGCUAAGGCGGUAGUAGGAGUGGUCAGCGGAGCUGUGACGAAGACCAAAGUAGCGACGUUUGUGACUGAAAAUGACGAGAAAAUGAGCGCUGCUUCACGGUGCGCACAAACGAGCCCUUGGGUAGUAUUAAUUCUGAAGAUGAAACGCAAAUUGUGCAACAGGUAAAACACGAUAUGCCUGCACUUUUGACAGCAACGGACUGGAACAGUGAUUGAUGGAAUGGAAAGACUUUGGAGCAUGAUGCAAGAGACCAUGCUUCUAAGUCAGAUGCCUACUUACCUAAUCUUAAAUCACAUAGGACCAAGAGUGUUUGUUCUAGAAGCAAAGCUAAGGAUGGUAAAAAACAAAACAAAACAAACAAAAAAAAAUGUGUUUCAGGGAAAGUAUGGUUCCAAGGGCCCACAGCACUAACCCAAUGUUUAUGACAUCUGUGAAUUAUGAAGCACAAAGUUGCUAAAGUGCUCUUAACAACACUUGAGAUCAUCUAAGAGGGAUUUACCUACCCUCGAUUUCAAAGUAUACAAAACGUGGCUAUUUUUGGAAAAGAUGCCAUGGAACAGACCAAGCAAGGAAGAGGGAGAUAGACUUAUUUUAAAGUUGAAAAGGGUUACCCACCUCACUUUUCUAUGGAAAGUUCAUCCAGAUAAUGAGGGGUUAAGCCACUUCUUGUUAACUUUGAGUGUAUAUAAACAUGGCCUUAAGUAUACCCGUUUGGAAUUUAAACCCUUCAUGAGGAGAAGAGGAGCUCCUGUAUCUUGGUUCCAGGAAAGCCAUGUCUUUACUAGAGGCUUAUUUGAGGGAACCCCAUACGGAGGAUCGGAGGAUGGGAGAAUCCGUUUCGAAGAUGCUGGAAGGGUUGGAAGAGCAAGAGGAAGGAGGAGGAGGGCUGAGGCAGCAAGAAAGGAGCCACAGCUAAGCACCUUUGGUCUGAAGCCCCCGAAUCCACCCCUGCCUCUCGUUGCUUGUAGGUUCUGGAUGUGCUGGGUGCGAUCCCCCCCACCCCUACUCCAGCAACCAGCUGACUCCCAGAGCCAAAGCAGGUCUCUCCUGCCGCCUGCGGGUGUCCCCUGAGCCUGGAUGGCCGGAGAGCCUGGCCCUGCCUCUUGGAAGCGCGACACACAAGGGCAGGUGGCUCUCCGAGACAGCAGGUAACUCAGCCCUCACUCAUUUUGAGGGAGUAUCGGUCAAGCCAGAGAAGUGACCUCAGCUUUGAUGGACUCUUCCAUAGCCUUCGGACUGACUUCCCUCUGGCUUGUCCGGUGCCCGUCCCCACCCUUUCCUUUCCUCAUAGUUCCUUUGCUCGAGCCUCCCCAUGUGCUAUUGUACAGAUGCGAAAGGUUCUAACCAGGCGGCGUGCAAAACUAGGCAUUAAGCAGGAAGAGAAAAUGACUAAUAAUUUCAAACCUGGAAAGUAAAAAGAGCACCAGUCUUCCCAUCAUUUUGCCUGGGAAGUGAAGGCCGCUGCAGAUUUCUGUAUCCUUCCGGCUCUACACUGGCCGAGCCGCAGCCUGCAGCCUGGCAGGCCCUGCCUGCUUGUGUUUGCGAGGUCAGAAGCCUGUGAUUCUAAAAGAUAUCCAAUUUCCAGAAAAAAAACAGAAGGCUACCUUUGGAGGAUCAAGGAAGGAUUUCCCACCCAGAGUGAGGCCCUAGGGUAAAAGGAUUAUUUUACCAUAGUCAUUUGCCAAAAACCUGAUUUCCUUGAGUCGCACAGAGAGAGAAAUCACUUUUAUUUUUGUCUUAUGCCCUGGAAAAAUCUGACAUGCGGAAGUCUCGAUUUUAACUGUUAGGUGUUUAACAUCACCGUGGUUUGCCCAGCACGUAGAAAUACUUGUAGAAAUUCCCUUCAUUCUAACACAAAGCCCAACAGAAUAAUAAGAACAGGCAUUUUGUUUUUGCUAAGUAGCUUGAAGUGGGUAUAGGUUCUUCACCUGUGAUGUGUGAGCCUUCUCAUUGUCAUUCAAUAGCACCUUUAAAUUGAAAGACAGAAAAAAUAAAUAAAUAAAUGUAAAGACAGGCAUCAGCAACCUGCUGCCCCAGGGGCCAAAUCUGGCCCACCACUUGUUUUUGUGAAUAAAGUUUUAUUGAAACACCA